ensembl:snRNA U6 U6 spliceosomal RNA
AUGUUCACUUUGCCUACAAAUAUACUAAAAUUGGAAUGACACAAGGUUGUCAUGACCCCUUCACAAGGAUGCCCCACACAUUUGUGACGUUUUCCAUACUUUU